rnacentral:rRNA from 1 species
UACGUAGGGUGCAAGCGUUAAUCGGAAUUACUGGGCGUAAAGCGUGCGCAGGCGGUUUCGUAAGUCUGUCGUGAAAUCCCCGGGCUUAACCUGGGAAUGGCGAUGGAGACUGCGAGGCUAGAGUUUGGCAGAGGGUGGUAGAAUUCCACGUGUAGCAGUGAAAUGCGUAGAGAUGUGGAGGAACACCGAUGGCGAAGGCAGCCCCCUGGGUCAAAACUGACGCUCAUGCACGAAAGCGUGGGGAGCAAACAGG